UUUGUUUUUGUUUCAUGGUGUAAGCCUUGGGCUGGAAGAUGGAGCUGGAGCCCAAAUCCUGAUCUUGCACUGCCAUUUAUUUCCUGGGUGGUCUGGAAGAAAAAACUCUUGAAUUUCUUGUCUUGAGGACUGGGUAGGGAUGUCCCCUCCCCUCAUGAACAUUCCCAGCCCAUGGGGCACUGAGCAGAGCCCCAGUGGGAAUGGGAGCAGCCUGUGGGGCUGGGGGGCUCGGGGUUUGGAGCCAUGGAGAGUCACAGAGUCACAGAAUCAUGGAAUCAGAGAGUUGUGGAAUCACAGAAUCAUGGAAUCAUAGAACCACAGAAUCACAGAGUUGUACAAUAGUUUGGGUUGGAAGGGACCUUCAAAGUCCAUCUAGUCCAGCCCCCUGCAAUGAGGAGGGACAUUUCCAAUGAGAUCAGGCACAUAUUUCCUUAUUUCCUACGUCUUUAUGAGCAUGUCCACUGCCCCAGCAUCUGCUUAGUGGACUGAUCUUAGAAGAGGUCACUUGUGUCAUGGGAUCUUCCUCCUGCCUGGACGAGUCACCAAAAACCCCAAGGUUUUUGUGUCCCCCAGAGCCUCCCAUCCUGCUGCCUGGAGAAAAAGCCUCACACUCAAGCAAUUACAGAAAAGCCCAGUGGUUUUGGCUCUCCCAGGAAAGCUCAAAUGGACUGUGGAAAAGCUGAAUGAGGGUGUGGUGUGGUCCCACAGAGAGAACAGACAGAUGAUGACUGCAUCAAAGAAGCCAGCGCUCUGAAAUAGCACACAGUGAAAU